UAGAAGAAGUUGUGAUUGGCUCGAUCCAUGAUUGGAAACUACGGGAUAUAGAUAUAAAAGAAAGAAGACACAACCCUAAGGAUCCAUAGAAUUCAAUGUGGACCCAACAUAACAAUAAAAACGUUUAAGUUGUUUUGUUUUAUACUUU